rnacentral:rRNA from 1 species
GGGGGGUCGCCUGUUUAACAAAAACAUCUCUUCUUGUUGUUUAUUUGAAGUACGGCCUGCCCGCUGAUUUUUAUUGAAGGGCCGCGGUAUUUUGACCGUGCAAAGGUAGCAUAAUCAUUAGUUCUUUAAUUGUGAACUGGUAUGAAUGGUUUGACGAGGUAUUAGCUGUCUUUGGUUUGAGUUUAUUGAAUUUAUUGUCUUGGUAAAAAUGCCUAGAUUUUUUUAUGGGACGAGAAGACCCUAUAGAGUUUGUACAUAGUUUGUUUUCCUUGGUUUGUUGUUGUGGUUUGGCACUUUGUGUUUUGUUGGGGCGAUGGGAAGGUAAGUUUAACCCUUCUUUUUUGUUUUCACUUGUUUGUGUUUUUAUGAUCCUUUAUUAUUGAUUGUAAGAUCAAAUUACCUUAGGGAUAACAGCAUAAUCUUUUUUGAGAGUUCUUAUUGACAAAUUGGUUUGUGACCUCGAUGUUGGAUUAGGGUGAAUUUUUGGUGUAGAGGCUUUAAAUAUUUUGAUCU